AUUAACUAUAUUCCAAACCACUAAAAUAUUAAGAAAUACUACAAUGCUUCUUUCUAGUAACAAUACUCCUUCAUCAAUUGAUAAUCACAAUGUGCAAUCCUACACUCUCAAAACACCCCUCAAAACUCAAUAAAUUCCAUCCAACAUCAAGAAUAAUAGACUUCACUCCAACCAAUCUAAAUUCACAGAAUUCUUAUAAUCAUAGACUUCCUCUGUCGAAACACACACAGACAACUCUCAAUAAACAACAAUCAUAAUCUUCCAAUCAUUAUCAAUCUUCUAAUAACUUCUCAUAUAAUUCAAUCACUUAGGACUCCAAUUAUAUAAUCAAUAACUCAUAAAUCAGUCUCUGAUUUAUUCAUAAGACUCACUUCUCAAUAUUCAAAAACUAUCCAUUAUUCUUCAACAACAAAGAAAAUAAAAAAAAAUAAAGAAGAAGCACCAAGCUUAACCCCGGCUCAUGACUAUCGCAGUUUGGCAUCCUCGA
rnacentral:lncRNA from 1 species